AUUUAAUUUCUCUUAAUUCAACUAAUUUCUUUAUUUUUAAUAUCCACUCUCAUAAUAAAUAAGGGUAUAAGUGAAAUAAAACAUUUAAAACAUUUGAAAAUUAGUCAAAGUUUCUUAUAAAAAUGACCAAUUUUUUUUCUUCAAAAUGUUCCUUAUAAAAAGGACCGGAAGGACAUAGAAAAAUAAUAAGUUUCUUAUAAAUACGAAUACAUCAAAAAAAUAAGUUUAAUUAAUAUUUAAUUUUUUCAAGUAAGUUAAUAAGGGUAAAAAUAAAAUAAAAAAUAAUAAGUUAUAAGCUUAGCUUAUCAAAAUAAGCUAUAGAUAAACUUGAGAUCUUCGCUAGUACGUACUAUGUAGUUUUAGAGUGAAUAAAAGAAAAAUUAUGCACACAUUUCGAUAAGUGUGGCAUAAUCAGACAUUUAUACGUUAAAAUU
rnacentral:lncRNA from 1 species